GUGAACGUGUUGCAGGUCAACAGCUGACUCGAUUGUUGACGCAGAAGAGGAUUGAUGUGUCGCGUAUUUCGAGACUUUCGCCUCUCGGCGGUACACUCAGCUUUCUAGUCGACCGCUCCGACCAUUACGAAUGUCGCGAUCCGAAUGUAUCUGAUACGUGUGCUCUGACAUGGUCUCUCUUGGAAGUUACAAGGAGAGCCGGCACUCUCACGUACUCAUGCCAGUACUUCUAAGUGCCUGCGCUAUCCCGAUUUCGAUGUUCUUUUGGAUAGUCAACGUGGUUUACUCGAUACUGUGGCCAAACACCGUCAACUCGAUAGAAGAACAUUCAGUGAUUUCGCCAUGGAGAUGGUUGGCUGCAGUUGUAAUUCCACUUAUAUUCUUAUUUUGGGGUAUACGCAAGAAAAGUCUGGACAUUAGCGGUGGAAUUCUUGGUUUUUUUAUGGGUUUUAUCCUGACACUUUCGAGUUUUGCUCAUUUGAUGGCUCUUAUAACGUUCUUCGUCACUGCAUCAAAGGUGACAAAAUUUCGGUCUGUGCGAAAAAAGAAAAUGGAAGCCGAUUUUAAGGAAGGUGGCCAACGGAAUUGGAUUCAGGUUCUGUGUAAUGGUGGCAUGGCUACGCAAUUAGCCUUAUUAUAUCUAUUGGAUGUUGGGAGCGGAGAACGACCAAUUGACUUCGACAAGGAAUAUCGAAGUUCAUGGUUAUCCAUUGGAAUAAUAGGGGCAUUUGCGUGUUGUAACGGUGAUACAUGGGCCUCUGAGCUUGGUACGGUGAUUGGCACGAGUGAUCCUUUCCUCAUUACGACGAGGAAAAAAGUUCCAAGAGGAACGAAUGGUGGUGUAUCAUGGACAGGUCUGGUAUGUUCUGUCGUUGGUGGUUUAGUAGUUGGACUUUUUUAUUAUAUUAUGGUAUUAAAUACCGUUGACACAGCUGUACUGCAAUUAGCAGCACCACAAUGGCCCAUCAUAAUCGUCGCAGCAUUCGGAGGUCUCUUUGGCAGCAUUUUAGAUUCUAUUCUUGGUGCGACUUUACAAUAUUCAGUAUGUUCUCUUCAGCGACGAAGACUCAUUUCAUAACAAUGGACAACUUAACAGGCAUAACUAUCAUUAUUGGUCCAUAUACAAUCCUCACUGGACUCAAUAUGUUGAUAAUCAACAUCGUUGAAGUUUAAACACUUGAAUAAAUUGCCUGAGCUUUUAGAAGAGGUUGAUCUUGCUACUCAAUAAAAAAUAUGAUGGCAGCAAGAUGAUACGCCAUCUCAUUCUCAUCGUAUUGUGACGGAAUACCUUAAUAACAUCUUUCUGAAAGAUAAAUAGAGAGAUAUGGAUAUAUUCGAUGGCCUCCAUGGUCUCCUGAUUUAAUUUCAUGUGAUUUUUUUUGUGGCGCUACAUAAAAAAUAUUGUUUACAAAAUUCCGACAUCUGCAGAAAAUAUGAAAAAUCGAAUAAUAACUAAUGUUUGUCAUAGCAUUCUUCAAAUAUUUUAAUUUCAACAGUAAAAAAUUUUGAGAAACGAUUGAGACUGUCUGCAAGAAAAUGAAGCUCCAUUUGAACAUCUUAUCAACAGCUAAAGACAUCGAAUUGAUUUUGCCUUAGUUGGCCGGAUCAGUCCCGAUAUUGCCUUAAUCGGCCGGAUCAGUGAUCGAUUUUGCCGGAUCAGUGAUCAGUCUUGCCUUAACAAGUACUUAACGAAAAAUAACUUUAUUAUAGUGUUUUGGGAAGUUCUCGAGAUAAACUACAAGAAUAUGUAAUAAAAAAUAAAUUUCCAUUUAAAAAAAACA
rnacentral:misc_RNA from 1 species